GUUUGGAGAACUGAUGAAAGACUGGAUAGAAGAUUGGUCAGAUGAUGAAAAUUCAGAUCGUGGAGAUAGGUCAGAGAAUGGGAACGUAUUGGAAGAUCUUAAUGAAAACAAUGAGCAUGAUGAUGGUGAGGAAAACAACUCGGAGAUCUCAAAUGAAGAUUACAUUAGUCAGGUAUGGAAGUGGAAUUUUUUGUUGGCAUGCAUGCAAAUUGAAUUAAUCCUGGAAUAUUAUAUGAUAAGUACUUAUGUAUUUGUGUUAUAUUUUUCAGCUCAUUUCCGAAUGUCAUAAUGCGUACGACUAUUACGGUGAAUCCGACGCGAAGACAGGCCUUGAUGUCGAAUCAUUAGCUGCAUCUGAUUCUGGGGAGUCGCAAUCGUCGGUCAUCAUGAGUGAGGUAUGUAUGUAAUCAAUGUUGUAUGGAAGUAAUGUUAUACCAUAGAAAACUGUUUUCAUGGCUAUGUUAUGAUUGUGUAGGUGACAGAAGUUGAGGG